GGCUGCUGGUCGGAGGACCAGGGGGACGAGGGCGGGGGGGUGGCGGGAGGCGGCCUCGGGCAGUGGCCGCAGAGACCCUGCGCCCAGGAGCCUCCUUGGCAGAGGCGGAGAUCGGCCGGGAAGGCCCUUCACUCCGCUCCCAGGGGGGCUCGGCCUCUCCUCGGGUCCACGCUGCUACCCGGCCACGGACAAACCCCUGCGGCCCCAGUUCAGGCGCUUCCCCUUCUGAGAAGUGGGGUCCCCCCUGCCUGCAGGCAUCCCUGCGUGGGGCCCCGGCCUGCCCCCACUUCCCGUGCACCCCCGGGACGGCGCCCCGCUGAGGAGGGGCGAGAGGGCCUGGCCGUCUCCAAAACCCCACGACUCUGCAGGGCAGAAGUGGGAACCGGAGUGAUUCACAACGAGGGCGGAAUUCUCCGGGCUCCCCUGCUUGCCACGUUGACGGAUGCUCCCGCUUCUUCCACAAAAUGAGGCCUGCGCUCUCCAGCCUCCUUGACAAAGGACGUGCUGCGCCCCACGCUUGCUCUGCCCCCAGCCGCCUCCAGGAGUGGCGUGUCUCGGGGACCGCCUCCCUGAGACACUGAGUCUGACCCCCUCUGUCCUGGCAAACCGCUCAGCUGUCGCCGUGUGCUCAACCCCCCGCCUCCCUCCCAACCCCCAGGAGCCGCUGCAGCUCCCUGUUCCUGCUUAAUUUUGAAACGCAGUUCAUGUCAAAAUCUGUGUGCAUAUAAAUGACUCCGUGUUGUUGCAA